CCUACGGGAGGCAGCAGUGAGGAAUAUUGGUCAAUGGACGAGAGUCUGAACCAGCCAAGUAGCGUGAAGGAUGACUGCCCUAUGGGUUGUAAACUUCUUUUAUAUGGGAAUAAAACGUUCCACGUGUGGGAUUUUGUCUGUACCAUAUGAAUAAGGAUCGGCUAACUCCGUGCCAGCAGCCGCGGUAAUACGGAGGAUCCGAGCGUUAUCCGGAUUUAUUGGGUUUAAAGGGAGCGUAGGUGGAUUGUUAAGUCAGUUGUGAAAGUUUGCGGCUCAACCGUAAAAUUGCAGUUGAAACUGGCAGUCUUGAGUACAGUAGAGGUGGGCGGAAUUCGUGGUGUAGCGGUGAAAUGCGUAGAUAUCACGAAGAACUCCGAUUGCGAAGGCAGUUCACUGGACUGCAACUGACACUGAGGCUCGAAAGUGUGGGUAUCAAACAGGAUUAGAUACCCCUGUAGUC
rnacentral:rRNA from 1 species